rnacentral:lncRNA from 1 species
UCUAGUCACCUAAUUUCGUGGAUACAUAAGUUCGUGGACUUCCGGAAAUCCUAAAUAUCUCGCAUGCGUGUUAUUGUUAUGACGUCAUCAAUGGCAUGAUUUGAUUGCUAUAGGAUAUCCCUACAACAACAACACAAAAAUGAAUCGCGACGUUUCAAGCAAGGUAAGACUUAUUACUUAUUUAUUUAAUAAACAAAAUGGCUGAUUUUACUUAUUUCUUUAUUUGUCUUAUUUCCAACGACCUCAAUAACUUUAUUCCCAAGCUAUAAUCCCAAACUCAAGUGUUGUUUG